UACGAAGGGGGCUAGCGUUGUUCGGAAUUACUGGGCGUAAAGGGCGCGUAGGCGGCCUGCUAAGUCGAACGUGAAAUCCCUGGGCUCAACCCAGGAACUGCGUCCGAUACUGGUUGGCUUGAAUCCGGGAGAGGGACGUGGAAUUCCAGGUGUAGCGGUGAAAUGCGUAGAUAUCUGGAGGAACACCGGUGGCGAAGGCGACGUCCUGGACCGGCAUUGACGCUGAGGCGCGAAAGCCAGGGGAGCAAACGGG
rnacentral:rRNA from 1 species